rnacentral:rRNA from 1 species
UGGCGGACGGGUGAGUAAUGUCUGGGAAACUGCCCGAUGGAGGGGGAUAACUACUGGAAACGGUAGCUAAUACCGCAUAACGUCGCAAGACCAAAGAGGGGGACCUUCGGGCCUCUUGCCAUCGGAUGUGCCCAGAUGGGAUUAGCUAGUAGGUGGGGUAACGGCUCACCUAGGCGACGAUCCCUAGCUGGUCUGAGAGAAUGACCAGCCACACUGGAACUGAGACACGGUCCAG